UACGGAGGGAGCUAGCGUUGUUCGGCAUUACUGGGCGUAAAGCGCACGUAGGCGGCUAUUUAAGUCAGAGGUGAAAUCCCGGGGCUCAACCCCGGAACUGCCUUUGAAACUGCAUAGCUAGAUUCUUGGAGAGGCGAGUGGAAUUCCGAGAGUAGAGGUGAAAUUCGUAGAUAGGCGGAAGAACACCAGUGGCGAAGGCGACUCGCUGGACAAGUAUUGACGCUGAGGUGCGAAAGCGUGGGGAGCAAACAGG
rnacentral:rRNA from 1 species